GUGGAGGGGGAGGGGAGGGAGAGCAGGCAGGGGACCCCCGGGGCCUGCCGCCACCCCAGGCUGGCGCCCCUGCCCUGCCCAGCUGAUCAUCAUAUUGUUUCAGAGUGAUGCCCAUCCUUGCUUUAUGCCAAUUGAUCCAUGCCUCUGCCGAGAAGAGGAAAGAGGUUCGGGCAGAGCGUUAAUAUUAAUCAACACCGGCCUCUCUCCAAAGGACAGCGGGGAAGCAGAAACAAAAGAAGGAGGUUUGCUGAAACAGCCCAGAAUAUUACAGCGGGAGAAGCAAUCAGUUAAUGGGACUGGAUGCCAAUGAGCCUCCCCAAUAUUCUGAUUUCCCGGGAGAAACUCGGCCGGCCUCCCGGGACCCGGAGGGAGUGGGGACGAGACAGGCUGCUUGCUUGUGCGUGCCUUGCCGGACCGGUUCUGUUCGUUCUGAGAAGAGACUCGUUCAAGUGACCGUCCGGUCCACGUGGUCCCCGAAGGUCCAGGAGGAAGCUGGUCUGCCGGUGACUAUGUCAAUCACGGCUCCACGUGCCUGCCACCAUGCGCCUCGCUUAGAGACCCAUAUGGACCUUCCCGUCAGGCUGGGACAGACUUAAAUUAUGACACUUUUCAUUUUGAUUGACAAUAACCUUCCCCUGGAAGUUGGGGAACAGCCCAGCUACAAUUACGUCUUGUACAAUAAAAUGAAGGAAAUAA